GAAGGGGCAACAUAAUAAGAAAAUAACAAUUAAAGCAAUACAAAAGAACAAUACUGACAGAAAGAAUUACUUGAUUGAGAAAAAUGAAAAAAAAAACACAUCAUGUACAAAAUCAUUAGUUAUACCUUGGAUUUAAUAUAUAAAUUAUAGCAUCAAACACAUUUAUAACACCAUCUGUCUACUGGUAUAUAUUUAUAAUUCAUCUAAACAUCAGCCGAACAAUGUUAUAGAUCUGUAAAUUUGCUUUCGCAAAUUUAUUUGUUCUUCCCUCGCCGGGAUUCAAACUCAUACUACUGAGAUAUCGUGGCACAAAAUCGUAUUGCACUAUAUCCAACACGUUAGACCACUUGACCACCUAGGCUUCACAUAUAUAUUACAUUAAAAAACAAUUCUGAUAGCCUCAAUUACAGAAUUUGUAGUGAUGAUGAAAGGUCAUGAAAGGCCUUGUGAAAAACACUUCAUUAAACAUGUUAAAAAUACACAUUGAACCAAUUGUUUUGAUGUAUUCACAAUUCAUUUUUAUUAAACAUCUUUUAAUCAUAUAAUAAACAAUACAGGAAUGAUACAUGCUGGUAUUGGCGAGACUCAGCUCAACAACUUUUUGUCAUCACUUAAUGUCCAUUGCAUAGAUGCAAAGACCUUGAAAAUUAGAGAAAAUGAAGCCGGCAGUGUUCUUGAGAAUCAGGUCAUCAUGUCACAACAAAGACACUUGCAAAGGGAAAUAUUGAAUUCCACAACAGAAGAUCAAACAGACAGUAGAAGUGGAAUAUGCAUAAGUACUGAUACAUGCUGGCAGAAAAAAGGAUCUGGCCGAUCGUACAACAGCUUAUCAGGAGUUUCAACACUGAUUGGAAAAACCACAGGCAAAGUUGUAAACCAUAAGGUUCGCAUAUCAAGCUGUAGAAUUUGUGAAAGGGCAAAGAGCAGAGGUGUCUUACCACGACAACAUAAGUGUAGAAAGAAUUGGAGUGGUUAGGCUAAGGUAUUUACCAUAUGAAAGCAAUAACAAUGGUAAUAAACAGCUGCGCCAUGAGCACAUGAUACGCCCGUCACAUUUUCAAAGAAAAAGUUCAAUUACUUCUCAAUGUCAUAUUUCAAAUGUAUAAAAAUCAAAAGGGAGCUUACAUCAAUAGAUAUAAACAAUUCACUAAAGUUUCAUGAGAAUUGCUGAAAGCAUUUUUGAGUCAUUGUCCAAAACUGGAAAAUCACCCCUUUUUUAAUGAAUAAAACCCCAUAACUUGGAAAUGUAAAAUCUAAAAUUUAUAAAAAACCAAAGG